rnacentral:lncRNA from 1 species
UCCCGUGAAACAGAAAUGAUCAAUCAAGACAGCUCCUCCCCGUAAAGAUAAAACAGUGAGGGCCUGAAGUACUCCAUGUACCACCUAUUUUCUGGAUGACCACACAAGUGAUGAACAAAUAAGUCUACUUUAAUCCUAUGGCUCUAUUUUUAUUUCACUGCUGCUCAUAUUGUCGGGGCAAGCUGGACUUGGAAGGGGGCCCCUUCCCUCUUUCUGAGAGUCUCCUAAGACCCCCACACUGCCAGCUUUAAACUCCUAACCCUUCAUUUCCCCUUUCACAAUCCCUGGAUAUCACCAUCUAUUGUUUUUCAUUUUCUUUUCUCUUCUUGAUCAGCGGAUCACUGGCUCCCAGCUCUCCCUGAGGCUCCAAUAUUUUGGUCAGUCACUAAGUGGGGGUCAGGACCUUACCCAGGAUGGCCUGGUGGACCUGGCUGUGGGAGCCCAGGGGCACGUGCUGUUGCUUAGGAGCCUGCCUUUGCUAAAAGUGGGGAUCGCCAUAGGAUUUGUCCCUGUGGAGGUGGCAAAGACUGUGUACCAAUGCUGGAAAAGGAAUCCCACUGCCCUUGAAGCUGGGAAGGCCACUGUCUGCCUCACUAUCCACAAAGUCUCCCAUGACAAGUUAGGUGAGUGUUUUCCUAAAAUUGGGUGCAGCAUCGCCCCAUUAGAGGCAGAGCAAUCCCAAGAACACAAAUCUCUUUCCUGAGCUUCCUGCAUCAGGGGCCUGAGUUCUUUCCUUUCUCUUCUUCAUGCACCCAGGCCUAUGGGUUCCUGUCCAUAGCCUGUCUCCUCUCCUCCCUACUGCAGCCGCUGUCCCUGCUCAAGCUGCCACAUCUCUGGUACCUACAUUGAAACAAAGACUCUCUGUUUGGACCUCACACCUAGCCCUAUCCCCUCUCAACCA